rnacentral:rRNA from 1 species
AAUAUUGGACAAUGGGGGCAACCCUGAUCCAGCCAUGCCGCGUGUGUGAAGAAGGNUUNNGGUUUNUNAAGCAAUUUAAGUAGNNNNNAGGGGCUUUGGGUUACUACCCGUACGUUGUGACGUUACCAACAGAAUAAGCAUCGGAUAAUUCUGUGCCAGCAGCCGCGGUAAUACUGAGGGUGCAAGCGUUAAUCGGAAUUACUGGGCGUAAAGCGCGCGUAGGUGGUUCAGUAAGAUGGGUGUGAAAUCCCCGGGCUUAACCUGGGAACUGCUUUCAUAACUGCUGAGCUAGAGUACGGUAGAGGGUAGUGGAAUUUCCUGUGUAGCGGUGAAAUGCGUAGAUAUAGGAAGGAACACCAGUGGCGAAGGCGACUACCUGGACUGAUACUGACACUGAGGUGCGAAAGCGUGGGGAGCAAAC